rnacentral:rRNA from 1 species
GAUGAACGCUGGCGGCGUGCCUAAUACAUGCAAGUCGAGCGAAUGGAUUAAGAGCUUGCUCUUAUGAAGUUAGCGGCGGACGGGUGAGUAACACGUGGGUAACCUGCCCAUAAGACUGGGAUAACUCCGGGAAACCGGGGCUAAUACCGGAUAACAUUUUGAACCGCAUGGUUCGAAAUUGAAAGGCGGCUUCGGCUGUCACUUAUGGAUGGACCCGCGUCGCAUUAGCUAGUUGGUGAGGUAACGGCUAACCAAGGCAACGAUGCGUAGCCGACCUGAGAGGGGGAGCGGCCACACUGGGACUGGGACACGGCCCAGACUCCUACGGGAGGCAGCAGUAGGGAAUCUUCCGCAAUGGACGAAAGUCUGACGGAGCAACGCCGCGUGAGUGAUGAAGGCUUUCGGGUCGUAAAACUCUGUUGUUAGGGAAGAACAAGUGCUAGUUGAAUAAGCUGGCACCUUGACGGUACCUAACCAGAAAGCCACGGCUAACUACGUGCCAGCAGCCGCGGUAA